GAAUCUGAGAAAAGCCGAGAGGAGGAAGAAAAGAAAAAGAAGAAGAAGAAUAAAAAAAACGGCAUCACUCACUGGUGAGAGAAGAUUUGUUUUGCUCGAAAGACAUGAGAUUAUAAGAAGUCAGAGAAGACCAGAGGAGGAAUUGCAGGCUGAUGUGUCUUUCGUCCUCUCAACAUUUCUUGGAUGAUGUUGAAAACAACACCCAGGUCCCGCUUUAGCACCUGCUGAGAGAUGAAUGGAUGAAAACGAGGAAACUGGCUGGGUUGGCAGGGAAAAGACAGGGAGACGGAAUCGUGUUUAUCGGCCUGGAGGAGGACGACACUGAGAAGCAUGGAGGCGUAUCAUAAACAAGGUUGCACCGUUUGUGGGUCUCUCGGGCAACAUCCAUUAGGCGAAACGGGGAGAAGCUGCGUGCCGGCGAAACCAGGGCAAUGCAUAUUCCCUUUCCGAAACCCACAGAAACACCAUUCUGGAAUCAUUAUGCUAUCACAGCGCUCGC